rnacentral:rRNA from 1 species
ACGGAAGGCAGCAGUGGGGGAUAUUGCGCAAUGGGGGAAACCCUGACGCAGCAACGCCGCGUGAAGGAAGAAGGUUUUCGGAUUGUAAACUUCUUUUAUGUGGGACGAUAAUGACGGUACCACUUGAAUAAGCUCCGGCUAACUACGUGCCAGCAGCCGCGGUAAUACGUAGGGAGCAAGCGUUAUCCGGAUUUACUGGGUGUAAAGGGCGUGUAGGCGGGACAGCAAGUCAGAUGUGAAAGCACGAGGCUCAACUUCGUGUCUGCAUUUGAAACUGCUGUUCUUGAGUGCUGGAGAGGCUAACGGAACUCCUAGUGUAGCGGUGAAAUGCGUAGAUAUUAGGAAGAACACCAGUGGCGAAGGCGGUUAGCUGGACAGUAACUGACGCUGAGGCGCGAAAGCGUGGGUAGCAAACAGGAUUAGAUACCCUGGUA